AGAGUUUGAUCCUGGCUCAGAUUGAACGCUGGCGGCAUGCCUUACACAUGCAAGUCGAACGGUAACGCUGGCGAGCUGUAACGCUAGGCGACGAGUGGCGAACGGGUGAGUAAUGUAUGCGGAACGUGCCCAGUUGUGGGGGAUAACUGCUCGAAAUGAGCGGCUAAUACCGCAUACGACCUGAGGGUGAAAGCGUGGGGAUCCGCAAGACCUGCGCGCAAUUGGAUGCGGCCGAUAUCAGAUUAGGUAGUUGGUGGGGUAAAGGCUCACCAAGCCAACGAUCUGUAGCUGGUCUGAGAGGACGACCAGCCACACUGGGACUGAGACACGGCCCAGACUCCUACGAGAGGCAGCAGUGGGGAAUUUUGGACAAUGGGCGCAAGCCUGAUCCAGCCAUGCCGCGUGCGGGAAGAAGGCCUUCGGGUUGUAAACCGCUUUGUGUCAGGGAAGAAAAGACUCCUGUAUAAUACCGGGGGUCUCAGUGACGGUACCUGAGAGGAUAAGCACCGGCUAACUACGUGCCAGCAGCCGCGGUAAUACGUAGGGUGCAAGCGUUAAUCGGAAUUACUGGGCGUAAAGCGUGCGCAGGCGGUUAUGCAAGACAGAUGUGAAAUCCCCGGGCUCAACCUGGGAACUGCAUUUGUGACUGCAUGGCUAGAGUACGGUAGAGGGGGAUGGAAUUCCGCGUGUAGCAGUGAAAUGCGUAGAUAUGCGGAGGAACACCGAUGGCGAAGGCAAUCCCCUGGACCUGUACUGACGCUCAUGCACGAAAGCGUGGGGAGCAAACAGGAUUAGAUACCCUGGUAGUCCACGCCCUAAACGAUGUCAACUGGUUGUUGGGAGGGUGUCUUCUCAGUAACGUAGCUCACGCGUGAAGUUGACCGCCUGGGGAGUACGGCCGCAAGGUUGAAACUCAAAGGAAUUGACAGGGACCCGCACAAGCGGUGGAUGAUGUGGUUUAAUUCGAUGCAACGCGAAGGACCUAACCUACCCUUGACAUUGCUAGGAAUCCGUGCAGAGAUGUGAGGAGUGCUCGAAAGAGAACCUGGACACAGGUGCUGCAUGGCCGUCGUCAGCUCGUGUCGUGAGAUGUUGGGUUAAGUCCCGCAACGAGCGCAACCCUUGUCAUUAGUUGCUACGAAAGGGCACUCUAAUGAGACUGCCGGUGACAAACCGGAGGAAGGUGGGGAUGACGUCAGGUCAUCAUGGCCCUUAUGGGUAGGGCUACACACGUCAUACAAUGGCCGGGACAGAGGGCUGCCAACCCGCGAGGGGGAGCUAAUCCCAGAAACCCGGUCGUAGUCCGGAUCGCAGUCUGCAACUCGACUGCGUGAAGUCGGAAUCGCUAGUAAUCGCGGAUCAGCUUGCCGCGGUGAAUACGUUCCCGGGUCUUGUACACACCGCCCGUCACACCAUGGGAGCGUGUUCUGCCAGAAGUAGUUAGCCUAACCGCAAGGAGGGCGAUUACCACGGCAGGGUUCGUGACUGGGGUGAAGUCGUAACAAGGUAACC
rnacentral:rRNA from 1 species